rnacentral:rRNA from 1 species
UCUCACUAUAUAUCUUAUAAACAAGUUAUAAUUAAAACAAUUACAUUAAUUAAUCUAAUAAUCCUUUAAGUACUAAAAAGGAAUCUUAAAUAUAUAAAAGUAAUAGUAAAAUCAUGUACCUUUUGCAUUAUGGUUUUACAAGAUAAAAAUUUAUAAUCUUUUCCCGAAUUCUAUGAGAGCUGUUUUAUAAUUGCUGAGAGCCCACUACUAGUUGUAGCACCAACUUUAAAAAAUAAUAAAACAGAGGCUACAUACCACCCGCGCUAGAAAAUUGCUGGUUCUUGAUAAACCUUAUAUAUUAAACCAUGAAAUAAUUUUUCAGUGUAAGAUUUCAGAGGAUAAGCCCUGUAAUCAUAUGCCAAGAAAUAAUCUUUAAAAAACUAGGCCUAAAACCAGCCAUAAAAACUACUUUACCGUAAUAUAUUCUAAAUGUUUUUCAUAUUUGCCACCAUAAAGUCAAGAAUUUAGAUAAACAACACUCUUAAUUUACUAUGUAAAAAUAAGUAUUAAAUUCAACUGUCA